rnacentral:lncRNA from 1 species
GAAUAUUUACCGGAUCUGUCCCUUCCGGCCAUGCUUUCUUCGAAUAUGAGGAAUUAUAGCAAUAUUUAAGUUUGGUUGUUGGCGGAAAGCAGAAGAUGAUUUGAGGUUUUUUCUGCAGGUGGUGUUGUAAGCAGUUACGGAAUCCGCUGAACGUGUUGCUGGAUGUAGACAUGGCUGAAGAUUGGUUAUGUGAGCUGUGGUGUAGCAUGUUAUGUGUAAUUUGUUGGUGGAGAAGGACAGGAAGGAGAUGAUGCUGCUGUUGGUGUUCGAUUUAUUUACGAGGAUGAUGUAUAAGAUAUAUAUCGGGACC